GGACGUCCUGUCCACCCCAGACGUGGCGCGCUCCAUGGGCCCCCUUGCCCGUUUCUUGACUCCUCCUCUUUCUCCUGUGCCGCUCUUACUGUUGAUUGCCUCCCUGGCUUAGAUCUGGUUGACAUCCAGUCUUCUGCCUCGCCUUCGGAUACGCAGCAUUGGCUCUCGUGCGGUUUUGACUCUGCUGUUGUGCCGUUCCGUGACGAAGCAUGAUGCUGCUGAUAAUGCUCUUUCUCUGCUCGGAAGGUAUCUCGCCAUGAAAGCUCCUAUUGUAUGUGUAUGUGUGCUGUUGCUACUGUUGUGUAUGGGACCGUGUCUUUUCAGGUGCCUCAUGGAUCGAGUGUACGCUCUGGCCUCCUCGCUCAUCCCCCACCGGUCCGACUACGUCUUUAUGGCACAGACCGUGCGCAAGCCCAUCUACGCGUCAUUGAAACCAUCUUAUGAUCCAUCUUAUGAUGAUGCUGUUCCUGUCUCUGUGUAGGAGCCUUUUUCUCUGUUCUCUCUGAUGUGCGUAUUGAUUAUAACCCGUCUUCAACGGGUUAUAAAAGAGGGGAAUGAAAGGGUUAACUUUCCGUCGGCCUGUCUCUUCCCCAGUGACUAACAUGUAUUAAUAAAAUCAGACUCUGCUGAGGGUGCAAGGGUGUCUGCCCUUUGUGCAUACUUACAGGCUGUUAAUAACUAUUGUUCCUCUUUCAUUCUGGAUUUUGAUGUUGAACUGAGCACAUCCAGAGAUGGAGAAAAACAACUCCAUGUAUGGACAUGCAGGUUACGACAUAUGUUAGAAUGUGGUCGAGCCCUUCCUUGGCUGCCUGCGAGCACGUGGGAAGGGCUCUCUGUCUGUUUGGGUAUAAAAGAGGGGACUUCCCCUUCUUCUGUGUGCUUUUGUGCUGAAUAAACUCUGUCUCUAUA